UGCGGGCGAGGCUAAGGCUGGGGGGAGCUGAUUUGGGGAAGCCCUGGGCCCCUGACCCCUCACCCUGACCCCUGCCCCCGCAGGCAGGAGACGAUCGAGCAGCUCUUAAGCAACAUGUUCGAGGGGGAGCAGAGCCAGUCUGUCAUCGUCAGUGGGAUCCAGGUGCUGCUGACCCUGCUGGAGCCCAGGAGGCCGAGGUCCGAGUCCAUGACCGUGAACAACUUCUUCAGCAGUGUGGAUGGGCAGCUGGAGCUCCUGGCCCAGGGGGCCCUGGAAAGCACUGUGUCCAGUGUGGGCGCCUUGCACGCCCUGCGCCCGCGGCUCAGCUGCUUCCACCAGCUCCUGCUGGAGCCUCCCAAGCUGGAGCCGCUACAGAUGACGUGGGGCAUGCUGGCUCCGCCUCUGGGCAACACGCGGCUGCACGUGGUCAAACUCCUGGCCGGUGCUCUGAGCGCCAAUGAUGCAGCCCUGACGCAGGAGCUCCUGGCACUGGACGUGCCCAACACCAUGCUGGACCUCUUCUUCCACUAUGUCUUCAAUAACUUCCUGCAUGCCCAAGUGGAAGGAUGCGUGAGCACCAUGCUGAGCUUGGGGCCACCUCCUGACAGCAGCCCUGAGACGCCCAUCCAAAACCCUGUUGUGAAACAUCUGCUGCAGCAAUGCCGCCUGGUGGAGCGGAUCCUGACGUCCUGGGAGGAGAACGACCGUGUACAGUCUGCGGGAGGCCCUCGGAAAGGCUACAUGGGCCACCUGACGAGAGUGGCCAAUGCCCUGGUGCAGAACACAGAGAAGGGGCCCAAUGCAGAGCAGCUGGGGCAGCUGCUGAAGGGUGAGGGUCCCCG
rnacentral:sRNA from 1 species